rnacentral:RNase_P_RNA from 1 species
GGAGUUGGCCAGACAGUCGCCGCCGCGCUUGCGCGGGGGAGGAAAGUCCGGGCUCCACAGGGCAGAGUGCCAGGUAACCCCUGGGCGGCGUGAGCCGACGGAAAGUGCAGCAGAGAGGAAACCGCCUAAGCCUUUCGGGGCCGGUAAGGGUGAAAGGGUGCGGUAAGAGCGCACCGCGCGGCUGGUAACAGUCCGUGGCAAGGUAAACCCCACUCGGAGCAAGACCAAAUAGGAACCCGACGGCGUGGCCCGCGCUGGGUUCGGGUAGGUUGCUUGAGCGCCAGGGUGACCUGGCGCCUAGAGGAAUGGCUGUCCACGACAGAACCCGGCUUAUCGGCCGACUCCCCCC